GACGAACGCUGGCGGCGUGCCUAAUACAUGCAAGUUGAGCGCUGAAGGUUGGUACUUGUACCGACUGGAUGAGCAGCGAACGGGUGAGUAACGCGUGGGGAAUCUGCCUUUGAGCGGGGGACAACAUUUGGAAACGAAUGCUAAUACCGCAUAAAAACUUUAAACACAAGUUUUAAGUUUGAAAGAUGCAAUUGCAUCACUCAAAGAUGAUCCCGCGUUGUAUUAGCUAGUUGGUGAGGUAAAGGCUCACCAAGGCGAUGAUACAUAGCCGACCUGAGAGGGUGAUCAGCCACAUUGGGACUGAGACACGGCCCAAACUCCUACGGGAGGCAGCAGUAGGGAAUCUUCGGCAAUGGACGAAAGUCUGACCGAGCAACGCCGCGUGAGUGAAGAAGGUUUUCGUAUCGUAAAACUCUGUUGGUAGAGAAGAACGUUGGUGAGAGUGGAAAGCUCAUCAAGUGACGGUAACUACCCAGAAAGGGACGGCUAACUACGUG
rnacentral:rRNA from 1 species